rnacentral:rRNA from 1 species
CACCGAGAUUUUCACCGCAUUCGCUGGGAGAAGCCAGCGGCAAGCGCGACGAUGAAGGCCGGUGGCGGGAGGAGAAUAAUCCUCGCGCUUCACGCUAUUAUUAAAGUGACUAACACCGAAUGGGUGGUGGAAACUUGGGUGUGAAAAACAAGUUAGUGGCGGACGGGUGAGUAACACGUGAGCAACCUGCCUUAAAGAGGGGGAUAACGUCUGGAAACGGACGCUAAUACCGCAUAAGACCACGGAACGGCAUCGUUCUGUGCUCAAAGGAGCAAUCCGCUUUAAGAUGGGCUCGCGCCCGAUUAGGUAGUUGGUGGGGUAAAGGCCUACCAAGCCUGCGAUCGGUAGCCGGACUGAGAGGUUGAACGGCCACAUUGGGACUGAGACACGGCCCAGACUCCUACGGGAGGCAGCAGUGGGGAAUAUUGCACAAUGGGGGAAACCCUGAUGCAGCGACGCCGCGUGAGUGAAGACGGUCUUCGGAUUGUAAAGCUCUGUUGCAGAGGACGAAUAAUGACGGUACUCUGUGAGGAAGCCACGGCUAACUACGUGCCAGCAGCCGCGGUAAUACGUAGGUGGCAAGCGUUGUCCGGAAUUACUGGGUGUAAAGGGAGCGUAGGCGGAGAUGCAAGUUGGAUGUGAAAUACCGCA